CACGGGGUUGCGAGCGUUGUCCGGAAUUACUAGGCGUAAAGGGCAGGCAGGCGGAUCCAUAAGUUUAUCGUUUAAGGCGUCGGCUUAACCGGCGUAGGGCGGUAGAUACUGUGGAUCUGGAAUGCGGUUGGGGAAGACAGAAUUCCUGGUGUAGCGGUGGAAUGCGCAGAGAUCAGGAGGAAUACCGAAGGCGAAGGCAGUCUUCCAAGCCGUUAUUGACGCUCAACUGCGAAGGGGUGGGUAUCAAACAGGAUUAGAUACCCUGGUAGUCCCUGAG
rnacentral:rRNA from 1 species